AGUGAACGCUGGCGGUAGGCCUAACACAUGCAAGUCGAACGGCAGCACAGUAAGAGCUUGCUCUUACGGGUGGCGAGUGGCGGACGGGUGAGGAAUACAUCGGAAUCUACUUUUUCGUGGGGGAUAACGUAGGGAAACUUACGCUAAUACCGCAUACGACCUACGGGUGGAAGCAGGGGAUCUUCGGACCUUGCGCGAUUGAAUGAGCCGAUGUCGGAUUAGCUAGUUGGCGGGGUAAAGGCCCACCAAGGCGACGAUCUGUAGCUGGUCUGAGAGGAUGAUCAGCCACACUGGAACUGAGACACGGUCCAGACUCCUACGGGAGGCAGCAGUGGGGAAUAUUGGACAAUGGGCGCAAGCCUGAUCCAGCCAUACCGCGUGGGUGAAGAAGGCCUUCGGGUUGUAAAGCCCUUUUGUUGGGAAAGAAAAGCAGCAGGUUAAUACCCUGCUGUUCUGACGGUACCCAAAGAAUAAGCACCGGCUAACGUCGUG
rnacentral:rRNA from 1 species